rnacentral:piRNA from 1 species
UGAACAAACCAGCUGAGCCAGUUCUUGUUCU